rnacentral:rRNA from 1 species
AUACGUAGGGUGCAAGCGUUAAUCGGAAUUACUGGGCGUAAAGCGUGCGCAGGCGGUUUUGUAAGACAGUGGUGAAAUCCCCGGGCUCAACCUGGGAACUGCCAUUGUGACUGCAAGGCUGGAGUGCGGCAGAGGGGGAUGGAAUUCCGCGGGUAGCAGUGAAAUGCGUAGAUAUGCGGAGGAACACCGAUGGCGAAGGCAAUCCCCUGGGCCUGCACUGACGCUCAUGCACGAAAGCGUGGGGAACAAACAGGAUUAGAUACCCUGGUAGUCCACGCCCUAAACGAUGUCAACUGGUUGUUGGGGAUUUAUUUUCUCAGUAACGAAGCUAACGCGUGAAGUUGACCGCCUGGGGAGUACGGCCGCAAGGUUAAAACUCAAAUGAAUUGACGGGG